CACGUUGUCAGCGGUCUCCUUGUCCAAAAUCUCUUUUCCUUUAACAUUCAUCAUAUUAACCUGAAAUAAAAACGAACUUCUGUUAAUUUCUUUAUUUUCGUUUUCCUGGUCGGCUAAUAUGAGCCGACCCUCGUCUAUUUCUUCUUGGAUCUGCCUUUUCGCAGUCGCUUUUUCUUUCCCUUUCAUGUUCACGGCGUUGACCUGUGAUGGAAAAGGAUUCUUAUCAAUUUUCAUAUCUCUAUUUUCUUGGUCGGCAAAGAUCAGCCGACCCUCAUUUAUCUCUUUUUGAAUUUACCUCUUAAAGGCAGUACAUUCACUAGUUUUAUGGCUCAAUGAAUGGUGCCAUUUGCAGUAUUUUCUGCAUUUCAGUUCUUCUACAGAAGGUAUAGUUUGACCCUCCUGUAGUUUAAUUCGUCCGUCCCUUAGCAACCGAUCAAAAAUAAGAUCGGUUUUUGCUAUACCAAACGAAUAAUUAAAGGCCGAUAUAUGUGCUUUCGCCUCUCUUGACUUGGCAGGUUUUAAUAAAGCACAUUUAUAUGGUUGAUUAUUUCUCACUAUCUCGGUUGUACAAAUUUCGGCUUCAUCAGCCGAAUCCUUAUUCUCUUCAGACGAAUUCGGCUCUUCAUGAGUCGAAGCCUCCUCAAAGAAAGAGAUAUUUUUCUUCUUUCCCUUGUUCCAGUCCUUAUUUCGGCUCCAUCUAGGCCGAUCUUCAUUAUUCCCUUUUCGAAAUUACUCGUAUUGAGCAACUCGAACUCCCAAAUCGAAAAGAUUUGGAAAGAAUUUAUCUUCAAAGUGAUCUUUAAUGUUAAAAUGCAUGCCGUUGAACGCCAUUUUGGCAAAUUCCGAUUCCGGCAUUCUUACGAAACAUUGGCUUCGAGCCGACUUGAAUCGGUUUAAAUAUUCAUCAACUGAUUCCCCUAUUCUCUAUCUAAAUUGAGCCAAAUCCGCAACUGACAACUCUGGCUCAGUUCUAUAAAAUUGUUCAUAACAUUUACCCUCCAACUCGUCCCAAUUUCGUACGGAAUUAGCGGGUAGACUUGUAUACCAAGUAAAAGCCGUCUUGGUUAAUGAAGUAUUAAAUAAUCACAUUUUCUGAAUUACUGGGCUGUUCACUCACAGAGUUUCUAGGGAUAGCCCUAUUACGAAGAUUCAUGGCAUUAUCAUCAGCCAUACUUUAAAUGCAAAUUUACCUUAAAAAUAAUGUCCCACUGGGCGUGCCAAAAAUUGUUGGUGGCCGAAAGUCCCGACCCUUAACCCAGUCAAGAAUCCUCCUCGGGAAGAACAUCGGGAUGAUGAGCGGCCGCGGAUGGUGACCCUCGAAGUUUGCGCCCACGACGGAUCAAGCGAUUCAGCCGAUGAGGGAUCGAAUCAGCCCGGUUCGAAGACCUCUACAGUAAAUUCGCUUCGGCGGGAUGAGCCGAAUAAAGAAGGGAAGCCCAGAAUUCGACUGAGAGAUGAGCUGAAUGACUAAACAACUCGAGAUCUGAUCGGCAAGAAGAGCCGAAAAUGACUUUCUAUUGAAUAGAAACGCAAAAACAGGGGAGUGAUGCCCGUAGGGCAGACAAACUCCAAGUACAAGAACAGGGGAGUGAUCCCGUAGGGCAGACAGACUGCAAGUAUGCUAAGUUACGAGAACUACUCCUAUGAAAAGCGGUAAAUGCAGGAAAGAAAGACGCCGAAAAAAUAAAAGUGGCCUUUUGUGCGCAGGGGUCUUCGUAUGCCUAUUUAUAAAGUUGCCCUUGCGUUCAGUUAUCGUCAUUGCACGAUCGGCCACUAUCUCCUGAUUUGAAGGACCACCUUCGGCCGAUUGGAACUACUCAUAACCGCUCGCGGUUGUUACAACUUUUUGAACAGACGCGGCUCAUAUCUUCUGGCGCGUCCUAUAUGUUCCCAGUCCACCGUUUUGACAUGGAUCAUGGAUGUAGUCCCGGCUUGCCAGUUGUCCACCGAAU
rnacentral:lncRNA from 1 species